rnacentral:lncRNA from 1 species
CAUUCAACGCGGUGUACCCGGUGGUAGUGUAUAGUCGUCGUCCGAUAAACCGCGCGUCCGGAGUUCUACGCAGUUCGUUCGGUCGACGAAGAAAUUGUUUGGCGGUGCAUCGCGUGGGACCUACCAAAAUCUGGAGUUUCUUCGAAAAGUUGGGGUAACUUGGCGCACGUGACUCUAACGUGAUUCCAUCGGAGUUUGAACGGUGCGUGUGCAUUGGGAUUCGCCGGUUGACUGUCGGCGCAGGGUGAACAUCGGAGGAGGAAAAGCUCUGCAGGAGCUGCUUCGGAAACUCUCGCGAGCUCUCUCACCUCUCUCACCGUUACGUUCCACGUACAAAACCCGGUAUACCUAUACCGCACAUCUUCCCGUGCUCCCUAUGACUGUAUAUACCCUAGCUUGUGUAUAUAGGACACGUACAUACAAACUCCGCCGGCGCAGGCUCCAAAAUCUCUAUGGUAUAAGAUUUGCUUCGCCGAUAUGACACCAUCUGUAUGUGUACAAGACGUACGUGUGCGUACACGUUGGUGUACACAGGCUACCAUCAGAUGUGCCGUGAAAAUGCACGUUCGUACGUACAUACGUAACAGGCAGC